AAAAGCCUCCCCCACACCAUGAUAGAGACAGAUCCACAGAUGUAGCGAUAGAUGUGUGCGUAUACAUACACACGCGUGUUCUCCCCACAACAAGAUUUCUAGCUGUCUCUCUCUGCCGUCUCCCGUGCUGCUCGGGCGGCCUGGGCUUUCCGUUGCACGGUCCCUUUAGGCUGGCCCUCGGGCCGCCAGGUGGGCCGGAUGCGUCACCUGGGGCAUCCUUUCCCGCUGCCCCGCUCUGGGGCCGCCUCCCGGGACUCGCCGGGCGCGGGCUCGGGGCGCCGCCGGCAGAGCCCGCGAGCUCGUCACUUCCCUUGCAUCCCCGGGCCACGGUUCCCAGGCGGGGCGGAAGUCCUCCUCCGCCCUGCACCGGAGCCGGCCCUUCCCGCAGGCUCUCGUCCCGGCUUAUCCGGGUCAUCGGUGGCCCGGGGCCCGCCGGCGCGGAGCGUCCCUGGAAAGCUCCGAGGCACGUGGCGAAGGAGUGUUGUGAAGCGCUUAGGUGCUGGGUGCGGAGGUGGGAGAAAGGGCCGACGACGCUCCACACCCCGCUGCAGGCUCGGCCGCUCCCAGCCGGCGGGGAAAUCCCCGUCUAGUUGCAGGUCCUUCUAGUUGUGGGAUGUGGGAUGCUGCCUCAACGUGGCCUGAUGAGCGGUGCCAUGUCCGCGCCCAGGAUCCGAACCCCGGACCGCAGCAGCGGAGCGCGCAAACGUAACCACUCGGCCACGGAGCUGGCCCCAGAGAAUGUUUUAUCUUAUAGUUGGAAAAAAUGGUCCUGUGUGCCUCUUUUUGGACCUGAGAAAACGAAAUGGACAAAACUUCUUCAUGACGAACAUCUGGACCCUUACCCACGGUGUUCUAGGCACCACAGAGCCUUCCAGUGGGUAACCGACAAACCGAACGGCUCCCUCCACGUGGCGGCCCAUCCUCCAAGCUCAAACUCUGGCAAAAAAGCAAGCAGUGCCUGCAUAAACCUAGUGAAUAAAUCACCCAGAUUUUUUUUCAAAGAUUUUAUUAUUCCUUUUUCUCCCCAAAGCUCCCCAGUACAUGGUUAUGUAUUUCUAGUUGUGGGUCCUUCUAGUUGUGGCAUGUGGGAUGCCGCCUCAGCAUGGCUUGAUGAACAGUGCCAUGUCCUUGCCCAGGAUCCGAACAGGCAAAACCCUGGGCCGCCGAAGCGGAGCGCCCGAACUUAACCGCUCGGCCACAGGGCUGGCCCCUCAC
rnacentral:lncRNA from 1 species